AGAUUGAACGCUAGCGGGAUGCUUUACACAUGCAAGUCGAACGGCAGCGCGGACUUCGGUCUGGCGGCGAGUGGCGAACGGGUGAGUAAUAUAUCGGAACGUGCCCAGUAGCGGGGGAUAACUACGCGAAAGCGUGGCUAAUACCGCAUACGCCCUACGGGGGAAAGGGGGGGAUUCUUCGGAACCUCUCACUAUUGGAGCGGCCGAUAUCAGAUUAGCUAGUUGGUGAGGUAAAGGCUCACCAAGGCGACGAUCUGUAGCUGGUUUGAGAGGACGACCAGCCACACUGGGACUGAGACACGGCCCAGACU
rnacentral:rRNA from 1 species